rnacentral:lncRNA from 1 species
UAGGGGGUCAAUCGACUAUUUUGGCCAUAGUGACUUAUUUUUAGUUCUUACUUUGCUGUUCAUUAUUGCUGUUUACAGUUUAUCUCUAUCUAUAAUAAUAUUCAAGAUAACAAAAAAAACAGCAAAAUUUCCUCAAAAUUACCAAUUCAGGGGCAGCAACCUAACAACCGAUUAUCCGAUUCAUCUGAAAAUUUCAGGGCAGAUAGAUCGUGACCUGAUCAACAAUUUUACUUCCUGUCAGAUUUGCUCUUAAUGCUUGGUUUUUGAGUUAUAAGCCAAAACUGCAUUUUACCCCCAUGUUCUAUUUUUAGCCAUGGCCGCCAUCUUGGUUUGUUGGCCGAGUUACCCGACACAUUUUUUAACUAGAUACCCCAAUGAUGAUUAUGGCUAAGUGUGGUUAAAUUUGGCCCAGUAGUUUCAGAGGAGAAGAUUUUUCUAAAAGAUUACUAAGAUUUACGAAAAAUGGUUAAAAAUUGACUAUAAAGGACAAUAACUCCUAAAGUGGUCAACUGACCAUUUUGGUCAUGUUCACUUAUUUGUAGAUCUUACUUUGCUGAACAUUAUUGCUGUUUACAGUUUAUCUCUAUCUAUAAUAAUAUUCAAGAUAAUAACCAAAAAACAGCAAAAUUUCCUUAAAAUUAUCAAUUCAGGGGCAGCAACCCAACAACGGGUUGUUCGAUUCAUCUGAAAAUUUCAGGGCAGAUAGAUCUUGACCUGAUGAAAAAUUUUAUCCAUGUCAGAUUUGCUCUAAAUGCUUUGGUUUUUGAGUUAUAAGCCAAAAACUGCAUUUUACCCCCUAUGUUCUAUUUUUAGCCAUGGCGGCCAUCUUGGUUGGUUGGCCGGGUCACGCCACACAUUUUUUAAACUAGAUACCCCAAUGAUGAUUGUGGCCAAGUUUGGAUUAAUUUGUCCCAGUAGUUUCAGAGGAGAAGAUUUUUGUAAAGGAUAACUAAGAUUUACUAAAAAUGGUAAAAAAUGGACUAAAAAGGGCAAUAACUCCUAAAGGGGUCAACUGACCAUUUCGGUCACGUUGACUUAUUUGUAAAUCUUACUUUGCUGAACAUUAUUGCUGUUUACAGUUUAUCUCUAUCUAUAAUAAUAUUCAAGAUAAUAACCAAAAACAGCAAAAUUUCCUUUAAAAUUAUCAAUUCAGGGGCAGCAACCCAACAACAGGUUGUCCGAUUCAUCUGAAAAUUUCAGGGCAGAUAGAUCUUGACCUGAUAAACAAUUUUACCCCUGUCAGAUUUGCUCUAAAUGCUUUGGUUUCUGAGUUAUAAGCCAAAAACUGCAUUUUACCCCUAUGUUCUAUUUUUAGCCAUGGCGGCCAUCUUGGUUGGUUGGCCGGGUCACGCCACAAAUUUUUUAAACUAGAGACCCCAAUGAUGAUUGUGGCCAAGUUUGGUUUAAUUUGGCCCAGUAGUUUCAGAGGAGAAGAUUUUUGUAAAAGUUAACGACGACGGACGACGACGACGACGACGGACGACGGACGAC